rnacentral:rRNA from 1 species
GACGAACGCUGGCGGCGUGCCUAAUACAUGCAAGUAGAACGCUGAAGAGAGGAGCUUGCUCUUCUUGGAUGAGUUGCGAACGGGUGAGUAACGCGUAGGUAACCUGCCUUGUAGCGGGGGAUAACUAUUGGAAACGAUAGCUAAUACCGCAUAACAAUGGAUGACACAUGUCAUUUAUUUGAAAGGGGCAAUUGCUCCACUACAAGAUGGACCUGCGUUGUAUUAGCUAGUAGGUGAGGUAAUGGCUCACCUAGGCGACGAUACAUAGCCGACCUGAGAGGGUGAUCGGCCCCACUGGGACUGAGACACGGCCCAGACUCCUACGGGAGGCAGCAGUAGGGAAUCUUCGGCAAUGGGGGCAACCCUGACCGAGCAACGCCGCGUGAGUGAAGAAGGUUUUCGGAUCGUAAAGCUCUGUUGUAAGUCAAGAACGGGUGUGAGAGUGGAAAGUUCACACUGUGACGGUAGCUUACCAGAAAGGGACGGCUAACUACGUG